GUAUAAUGUUUUGCAUUUGGGCUUUCGGGAUGAUUGGCCCAGAGCCAUGACCACGCUUCUUUGUCUUCAAAGCCGACAUUCUGUUAAUCAUUUCAUCUUCUUCGUCGUACACUAAAACUGAGUAACGGAUUCACCAAGAUUUAUGCUGAAGCCAUAAACUUAACAUUUAAUCUUCGACCCCACUACUUCUCAUCACAUCACAACCUUCGAUCUCUUCGAAUUCUUCACGAUUUGGAGAUAUAAAUAAGCGUUUCUGCGAGCUAGGUCGUGGUGGGUUCGGAGUGGUCUACAAGACGAGUCUCCAGGAUGGCAGUCAAGAAACUGACCUUUUCGGGUCUGAUAAAGUCACAGGAGGAGUUCGAGAGCGAGAUAAGAAAACUCGACAAGCUGUGAGGCACAGGGAUGUCGUUGAGAUCAAAGGGUACUACUGGACGCGACCGCUGCAGCUCCUUCUCUAUGAGUUUGUAUAGACUAUGAGUUUGUAAUUUCUAGAGAGAGUUUUCUCUCUGUUUCUCUCUCUGUUCUCAAAUCUUUAUAUCUUUCAAAGAGAGAGAAAACUUGAUUUUCUUUUCCGGCUCAUGUUCAUAAUAAUAUAAUGAAUCGGAUCUUUUGUUUAUAGUUUACCUCUUCUUUUUGUUUCUCUUCAUUGGUUUUCAAUCUAAUCUUUUGUGGGAGGGAAGAAGAGUAAUUUUUAGUGGUUUGUUGUGGUUUCAAACUAAAACUGAAGCAGUUCUUCACUUCUUUCAUCUCUUAACUCUGGUUUUAGCUUGAUUUUAAUAAAGUUUCGACCUUUAUGGUUCGAAGUUUUGUUUCUGAUCUGUGAUCAGAUUUCAAUUCCGUUCUGGAGUCGGAAAGCUAUCGUGCCAUAUAGCUAUUUCAAAUACCUAUUCUUUAAUUUCUCUUAGCACUCUCUUUCAUGUUUCAGAGAGUAAUAUCGUGGUCUUCAAGCGUCAAUCCUGAGUGCGUAGCUGUUUUCGUGGAGUGUUAUGAUGUGUCUGGGGAAGCUUAUACAGACAGGGACGAGUGUGUUUGCCUGACUUGGCGUGAAUGAUUCAGCAUCAUUCUGGGGAUAGCGAGAGGUCUUUGCUUAUCUGCACGGGAGUAACAUCACUCACUACAAUCUGAAAGCAACGAACAUGCUCAUAGACGCAGCCACAUGGGAGGCAAAAGUCUCUGACUUUGGGCUGGCCAGGCUAUUGGCCUCGGCGCUGGUGAUUCAACCGGAAGAGUCAUUAACGUAGUCUCUUACACAACAGCUUGCUCAGAGCAAACACUUCCAUCAGGAUACUAUUCUCUUGCCAAGAACAUACCUAGAUUCUCAGACUUGCAAUUUCCCUCGACGAUGGAUUUGUUCAAUCUAAGACACACGGAUUCUGGAGAAUGAUCUCUAAAGAGAAGAUUUAGAGCCUAAUAAACCAUGUGUUGUUUUGUCUUCUUAUUAAAACAGGUUUUCGGAGAGCUUUGGUUAAUUUGUCUUCUCUUUCUCUCUUCGUAUAGCUUUAGAGCAUCUUUAGUAUAUAUUUAAUCUUUAAUUUCUAAUACUAAUUUGGAUACAUAUUCACAUCUUCGUUGGUCUGAAACCAGUUUUCAGAUGCUUAUCCAUGUUCACUUUCAUAAAUAUCUGUCUCUGUUUGUUGUUUUGCAGUAUUGUAUCUGAUUUUUUUAUUAGUUUUUAUUUGGAACACAACACCAUCCUACAGGUUUUGACAA